rnacentral:rRNA from 1 species
CCUACGGGAGGCUGCAGUGAGGAAUAUUGGUCAAUGGGCGCGAGCCUGAACCAGCAAAGUAGCGUGAAGGAUGACUGCCCUACGGGUUGUAACCUUCUUUUAUAAAGGAAUAAAGUGAGGCACGUGUGCCUUUUUGUAUGUACUUUAUGAAUAAGGAUGGGCUAACUCCGUGGCAGCAGCCGCGGUAAUACGGAGGAUCCGAGCGUUAUCCGGAUUUAUUGGGGUUAAAGGGAGCGUAGAGGGGUUAUUAAGUCAGUUGUGAAAGUCUGCGGCGCAACCGUAAAAUUGCAAUUGAUACUGGCAGCCUUGAGUACAGUUGAGGUAGGCGGAAUUCGUGGUGUAGCGGUGAAAUGCUUAGAUAUCACGAAGAACACCGAUUGCGAAGGCAGCCUACUAAACUGCAACUGACAUUGAUGCUCGAAAGUGUGGGUAUCAAACAGGAUUAGAUACCCUUGUAGUC